AAACCAUUCUGCUGAAAAUGUCGUCGAAAUUUAGGGGUGAAUCCAUUGCCAUGAAGAACAUUGCCACAGCUACUCUGUAAUCAAUCUUGUAGUUACCAACAAGAGCUACAAGAUCCGUGAAGUCUCCCACAAACAUCCGAGGCAUUGUGCUCACUACCUUCUUCACCCAGUCUGCUUGUUUAGCAAACAAGACAGAAUCAUCACUGACUCUGGUCCAAGAUUGAGGGACCUGUGAGAAAGAGAAACAAUUAUAGAACUCUUCAACUCUUCUACAAAGCAAGAGAGAUACAACUGAGACCUGCAUCAUACCUUGUAAGUGAUCCAAAGUUUAUCUUUAUCUGCUUGCAGUAAAUUCCAAUAGUUGAGAAUGGUGUUAUCUUGGAGGAACAAGAAUCCUUCUGCAUUAGGAAAUCUUUCAAAUACCAUGGGCAGGUACCUAUAAAAAGAGAAUUAAUUUGUUGAAUUUAUCAUUCAUGAACUUUUCUAAAUAAAUAUUUAGUCAUUCAUUUUAAUUAAGAAUCCUUUCUUUUUAAUCUGUCAUCAAACUAAACCUGACUAAAAAAGAGUAUACAGACAUUAAACAUAUUGUAGGCAAAAUGACCAAUACCCCGUUUUCCCAUUAUUUGAAUCUAUUUGGUGUAUAAACAUCAUAUCACUAUUUUUUUAUGUAUUUAUAUCAGUUUUUAAA